AGUGAACGCUGGCGGUAGGCCUAACACAUGCAAGUCGAACGGCAGCACAGUAAGAGCUUGCUCUUACGGGUAGCGAGUGGCGGACGGGUGAGGAAUACAUCGGAAUCUACUUUUUCGUGGGGGAUAACGUAGGGAAACUUACGCUAAUACCGCAUACGACCUACGGGUGAAAGCAGGGGAUCUUCGGACCUUGCGCGAUUGAAUGAGCCGAUGUCGGAUUAGCUAGUUGGCGGGGUAAAGGCCCACCAAGGCGACGAUCCGUAGCUGGUCUGAGAGGAUGAUCAGCCACACUGGAACUGAGACACGGUCCAGACUCCUACUGGAGGCAGCAGUGGGGAAUAUUGGACAAUGGGCGCAAGCCUGAUCCAGCCAUACCGCGUGGGUGAAGAAGGCCUUCGGGUUGUAAAGCCCUUUUGUUGGGAAAGAAAAGCAGCAGGUUAAUACCCCGCUGUUCUGACGGUACCCAAAGAAUAAGCACCGGCUAACUUCGUG
rnacentral:rRNA from 1 species